rnacentral:rRNA from 1 species
GAGGNGGAAGGUCCCCACAUUGGAACUGAGACACGGUCCAAACUCCUACGGGAGGCAGCAG